AGAGUUUGAUCCUGGCUCAGAACGAACGUUGGCGGCGUGGAUUAGGCAUGCAAGUCGAACGAGAACCCCGCAAGGGGGGAAAGUGGCGAAAGGGGCAGUAAUGCAUGGGUAAUCUACCCUGGGGACGUGGAUAGCCAUCCUAACGGGUGGGUAAUACACGGCGAUUCGGCGAGGGGGCAUCCUCUUGCCGGGAAAUGAAUUUCGCCUCGGGAGGAACUCAUGUCGUAUUAGCUUGUUGGCGGGGUAACGGCCCACCAAGGCGAAGAUGCGUAGCGGGUGUGAGAGCACGACCCGCGCCACUGGCACUGAGACACUGGCCAGACACCUACGGGUGGCUGCAGUCGAGGAUCUUCGGCAAUGGGCGCAAGCCUGACCGAGCGACGCCGCGUGUGCGACGAAGGCCUUCGGGUUGUAAAGCACUGUCGAGGGGGAGGAAGCCGAAAGGUUGACCUAUCCCUGGAGGAAGCACGGGCUAAGUUCGUGCCAGCAGCCGCGGUAAGACGAACCGUGCGAACGUUGUUCGGAAUCACUGGGCAUAAAGGGCGCGUAGGCGGGCCGUCAAGUCAGGGGUGAAAUCCUCCAGCUCAACUGGAGAACUGCCUUUGAUACUGACGGUCUCGAGUGAGGUAGGGGUGUGCGGAACUGAUGGUGGAGCGGUGAAAUGUGUUGAUAUCAUCAGGAACUCCGGUGGCGAAGGCGGCACACUGGACCUUUACUGACGCUGAGGCGCGAAAGCCAGGGGAGCAAACGGGAUUAGAUACCCCGGUAGUCCUGGCCCUAAACGAUGGGUACUGGGUAGU
rnacentral:rRNA from 1 species